rnacentral:rRNA from 1 species
ACGAACGCUGGCGGCGUGCCUAAUACCUGCAAGUCGAACGCUUCUUUCCUCCCGAGUGCUUGCACUCAAUUGGAAAGAGGAGUGGCGGACGGGUGAGUAACACGUGGGUAACCUACCCAUCAGAGGGGGAUAACACUUGGAAACAGGUGCUAAUACCGCAUAACAGUUUAUGCCGCAUGGCAUAAGAGUGAAAGGCGCUUUCGGGUGUCGUUGAUGGAUGGACCCGCGGUGCAUUAGCUAGUUGGUGAGGUAACGGCUCACCAAGGCCACGAUGCAUAGCCGACCUGAGAGGGUGAUCGGCCACACUGGGACUGAGACACGGCCCAGACUCCUACGGGAGGCAGCAGUAGGGAAUCUUCGGCAAUGGACGAAAGUCUGACCGAGCAACGCCGCGUGAGUGAAGAAGGUUUUCGGAUCGGAAAACUCUGUUGUUAGAGAAGAACAAGGACGUUAGUAACUGAACGUCCCCUGACGGUAUCUAACCAGAAAGCCACGGCUAACUACG